rnacentral:rRNA from 1 species
CACGUAGGGCGCAAGCGUUGUCCGGAAUUAUUGGGCGUAAAGAGCUCGUAGGUGGUUUGUUACGUCUGCUGUGAAAACCUAGGGCUUAACCCUGGGCUUGCAGUGGAUACGGGCAGACUAGAGGUAGGUAGGGGAGAAUGGAAUUCCUGGUGUAGCGGUGAAAUGCGCGGAUAUCAGGAGGAACACCGGUGGCGAAGGCGGUUCUCUGGGCCUUACCUGACACUGAGGAGCGAAAGCGUGGGGAGCGAACAGG